rnacentral:misc_RNA from 1 species
GAGAAGAACGUAGCGAAAUGCGAUAAGUAAUGUGAAUUGCAGAAUUCAGUGAAUCAUCGAAUCUUUGAACGCACAUUGCGCCCCCUGGUAUUCCGGGGGGCAUGCCUGUCCGAGCGUCAUUACAACCCUCAAGCUCAGCUUGGUGUUGGGCCCCGCCGCCCCGGCGGGCCCUAAAGUCAGUGGCGGUGCCGUCCGGCUCCGAGCGUAGUAAUUCUUCUCGCUCUGGAGGCCCGGUCGUGUGCUCGCCAGCAACCCCCAAUUUUUUUCAGGUUGACCUCGGAUCAGGUAGGGAUACCCGCUGAACUUAAGCAUAUCAAUAAGCGGAGGA